UACGUAGGGUGCAAGCGUUGUCCGGAAUUAUUGGGCGUAAAGAGCUCGUAGGCGGUCUGUCGCGUCGGCUGUGAAAACCCGGGGCUCAACCCCGGGCCUGCAGUCGAUACGGGCAGACUAGAGUGCGGUAGGGGAGACUGGAAUUCCUGGUGUAGCGGUGAAAUGCGCAGAUAUCAGGAGGAACACCGGUGGCGAAGGCGGGUCUCUGGGCCGAUACUGACGCUGAGGAGCGAAAGCGUGGGGAGCUAACAGG
rnacentral:rRNA from 1 species